UACGUAGGGUGCAAGCGUUGUCCGGAAUUAUUGGGCGUAAAGAGCUCGUAGGCGGUCUGUCGCGUCGGCUGUGAAAACCCGGGGCUCAACCCCGGGCCUGCAGUCGAUACGGGCAGACUAGAGUGCGGUAGGGGAGACUGGAAUUCCUGGUGUAGCGGUGAAAUGCGCAGAUAUCAGGAGGAACACCGGUGGCGAAGGCGGGUAGCUGGGCCGACACUGACGCUGAGGCGCGAAAGCCAGGGGAGCGAACGGG
rnacentral:rRNA from 1 species